UACAGAGGUCUCAAGCGUUGUUCGGAUUCAUUGGGCGUAAAGGGCGCGUAGGCGGCUCUUUAAGUCAAAGGUGAAAUCCCUCGGCUCAACUGAGGAACUGCCUUUGAAACUGAGGAGCUUGAGUCCGGGAGGGGGUAGCGGAAUUCCCAGUGUAGCGGUGAAAUGACGUAGAUAUUGGGAGGAACACCAGUGGCGAAGGCGGCUACCUGGACCGGAACUGACGCUGAUGCGCGAAAGCGUGGGUAGCAAACGAGGU
rnacentral:rRNA from 1 species